rnacentral:rRNA from 1 species
UACGAGGGGGGCGAGCGUUGUCCGGAAUCACUGGGCGUAAAGGGCGCGUAGGUGGCGCGGGUAGUCGUCGGUGAAAGCUCAGGGCUCAACCCUGAGUCGGCCGGUGAUACUCCCGUGCUUGAGUGUGGUAGAGGCCAAUGGAAUUCCCGGUGUAGCGGUAAUAUGCGUAGAUAUCGGGAGGAACACCAGUGGCGAAGGCGGCUCUCUGGGGUAUUUCUGACGCUGAGGCACGAAAGCCAGGGGAGCGAACGGG